rnacentral:rRNA from 1 species
GUCUGCAGCCAUGCUACCCUGAACAAGCCCAAUCCUGUCUGAUCUCAGAAGCUAAGCAGGGUCGGGCCUGGUUAGUACUUAGAUGGGAGACCACCUAGGAAGACCAAGUGCUGUAGGUG